rnacentral:rRNA from 1 species
UGGGGAAUUGUUCGCAAUGGGCGCAAGCCUGACGACGCAACGCCGCGUGGAGGAUGAAGAUCUUCGGGUCGUAAACUCCUUUCGAUCGAGACGAACGGCCUCCGGGUGAACAAUCCGGGGGAGUGACGGUACCGAGAGAAGAAGCCCCGGCUAACUCCGUGCCAGCAGCCGCGGUAAUACGGGGGGGGCAAGCGUUGUUCGGAAUUACUGGGCGUAAAGGGCUCGUAGGCGGCCAACUAAGUCGGACGUGAAAUCCCUCGGCUUAACCGGGGAACUGCGUCCGAUACUGGAUGGCUUGAGUUCGGGAGAGGGAUGCGGAAUUCCAGGUGUAGCGGUGAAAUGCGUAGAUAUCUGGAGGAACACCGGUGGCGAAGGCGGCAUCCUGGACCGACACUGACGCUGAGGAGCGAAAGCCAGGGGAGCAAACGGGAUUAGAUACCCCUGUAGUCC